rnacentral:lncRNA from 1 species
AUGAGGGCUACAACCAGGUACAGCCAGCGCAGGAGUGUACAGGCUGAAGACACACCGAGCUCCAGAACAAAUGCCCAAUCAGAAGAUGAAGCAGACUUCAUCAAACAGAGUAAUCAGACAGUCCUGACUGGGAUGUUUCAGCGGAGCCGAAAAGAAAAAACACCUACGUUCACUAGUUAUGUGUUCGACAGCUCUGACAAAGAGGAAAAAACGGAUGAUGUUCCUGCCAAACAGGCUUCUGGCAGCAAACCGGGUGGUCUGAAGGGAGUAAUGAAAGGGUUGCAAUUCAAGUCAUCACCAAAGGCCAGCAGAGAGCCGAGUCCAGACCCGAGCGCAGAGGAAGCAGCCUCCGAAAAGGAACAGUUCAUAGAAAAAAACAAGCAGGAGAAGAAUGCGAAACCCAAAGAGGACAUAGGAGGUCUGAUCGCUGGAAUGUUCCGGAAAACUCCCAGAGAGAAAUCAUCGUCUCCAGCAGUGACGGUCAAUAAAGCUGACAGCGAUCCUGAAGAUACAGAAGACGCAGAUGAGAAGAGUUCCGAACAAUCCCAAGAAAAGGGAGGCUUGUUCUCUGGCAUCCUUAAGAAACACAAUAAAACAGCAGAUGAGGCACCUGCGCAGGUGAGAGACAAGAAUGGCCUCCUCCGUCUUAAAAUAGGAAAUAAAGAUCUGUUGAUACAUUUAAUUAUUUUUGUGUGUUUUUUCACUUUUUAUUGUUUUGUUUUUUUACGUUUGUGUUUCAGGACAGUCUGAGUGUUAACAGUGAGCUGUCUGCCAGCAGCGACAGUCUGUCUGAAAAUAACAGCAACAAGGUGAGCAGCUCUGUGUCACAGUGCAGAUAAAGUAAUCUUUAAUUACAGUGUACACACAGAUUAGCAGUUCGUCAUGCUGAAAGGCCCCUCACUGACCGGAGCUUCACCCAAAUAUAUAUUCCAUAACUGAGCCUUUUCUUUUGUCUGUUUCAGGAAA